rnacentral:tmRNA from 1 species
GGGGAUGUAAGUUUCGACGGAAAGAGUUCUUUAAAAACGGCAAGCCGGCCUGAAGCAAGCCGCUAAAAGGUUUCAAAAUAUAACUGGCAACAAAGAUGUUGCUCCUGCUUAUCUUGUCGCCUAAAGGCGCCUUGAGAUAAGCACGUCCAUAGUUUUUUCUCCUGGUGAGAAGCUAUGGGUGUCAACCCAGCCAGGAUACAAUUCCGCCGGUUUGGCUAAACCAGCGGAACCAAGCAUUAAUUAGUCUUGGUUUUAGUUUUCCGGUUCACAGGAUCAGACUAAAACGACAACAAGAGUGAACUAAGCUUGUAGAAGUUUUUAAAAAUGCUUUUCGGACGUCGGUUCACCCCGGCCAUCUCCACAA